GUGACGAAGAUGAACCCCCCUGACUAGUGAAGAAGUCGUUGCUCGCCGA
rnacentral:snoRNA from 1 species